rnacentral:rRNA from 1 species
GGGGAAUAUUGGGCAAUGGGCGCAAGCCUGACCCAGCAACGCCGCGUGAAGGAAGAAGGCUUUCGGGUUGUAAACUUCUUUUAUCAGGGGCGAAACAAAUGACGGUACCUGAUGAAUAAGCCACGGCUAACUAC